rnacentral:rRNA from 1 species
UGGGGAAUAUUGCGCAAUGGGGGAAACCCUGACGCAGCAACGCCGUGUGAAGGAAGAAGGCUCUAGGGUUGUAAACUUCUUUGAUUAGGGACGAAACAAAUGACGGUACCUAAAGAACAAGCCACGGCUAACUACGUGCCAGCAGCCGCGGUAAUACGUAGGUGGCAAGCGUUGUCCGGAAUAACUGGGUGUAAAGGGCGAGUAGGUGGGACAUUAAGUCAGAUGUGAAAUUUGGGGGCUCAACUCCUAAGCUGCAUCUGAAACUAAAGUUCUUGAGUGCUGGAGAGGGAAGCGGAAUUCCUAGUGUAGCGGUGAAAUGCGUAGAUAUUAGGAGGAACACCAGUGGCGAAGGCGGCUUUCUGGACAGUAACUGACACUGAGGCGCGAAAGCGUGGGGAGCGAACAGG